GGAGGAGAUGUACAGAAUGUAUAUUGUCUUGAUUGGUUAUACUGUUAAUUAUGUGGGUGUCUCCCUUGCAUGGGCAGAAUCACAUAAAAGAGCGUGUCUGUCAAUAAAUCCUUAGUUCUUCUUGACCCUUCAAAACAUAGCCUCGUCUCGUUCUUGAAAGGCGAAUCUCUGCAGCAUAAUCACUCCGCUCUUUUCAGAGCUGCACUUGACUUCUAC